rnacentral:rRNA from 1 species
AUUGAACGCUGGCGGCAUGCUUUACACAUGCAAGUCGAACGGCAGCACGGGCUUCGGCCUGGUGGCGAGUGGCGAACGGGUGAGUAAUAUAUCGGAACGUACCCAGCAGUGGGGGAUAACGUAGCGAAAGUUACGCUAAUACCGCAUACGAUCUAUGGAUGAAAGCAGGGGACCGCAAGGCCUGGUGCUCCUGGAGCGGCCGAUAUCUGAUUAGCUAGUUGGUGAGGUAAAGGCUCACCAAGGCGACGAUCAGUAGCUGGUCUGAGAGGACGACCAGCCACACUGGAACUGAGACACGGUCCAGACUCCUACGGGAGGCAGCAGUGGGGAAUUUUGGACAAUGGGCGCAAGCCUGAUCCAGCAAUGCCGCGUGAGUGAAGAAGGCCUUCGGGUUGUAAAGCUCUUUUGUCAGGGAAGAAACGGUAGAGGCUAAUAUCCUUUGCUAAUGACGGUACCUGAAGAAUAAGCACCGGCUAACUACGUG